CGGGAGCCAUGAGCUGCACGCAGAGCCGCUGGAGCAGCCCCCCGGUGCUGCUAGGCUCCUGCUAGGAACCAGCUGCUGGGACCCAGCCUCUGCAUCCCUCCCAAGGUUCCUCGCCUCACCAGCAGGUCCUUGCAAGAUUUCAGCUCUGUGCAUGAGUGGAAAGCAGAGGAGAGGCCAAAGCCCAGCGUGCCCCUGGCAUCCGACUGCCCAGCAUCCUGCCUUCAUCUGACCUGGGUAGGUGGCACACGAGCUCGGGCACUGUUGUAUUGCUGAGCAUGUGACACUCACAUACCUCUGUCGUGCUGAGUCUGGGACUGGAAUGGU
rnacentral:lncRNA from 14 species